rnacentral:rRNA from 1 species
AUUGAACGCUGGCGGCAUGCUUUACACAUGCAAGUCGAACGGCAGCGCGGGCUUCGGCCUGGCGGCGAGUGGCGAACGGGUGAGUAAUGCAUCGGAACGUGCCCAGUAGUGGGGGAUAGCCCGGCGAAAGCCGAAUUAAUACCGCAUACGACCUGAGGGUGAAAGCGGGGGACCGAAAGGCCUCGCGCUAUUGGAGCGGCCGAUGUCGGAUUAGCUAGUUGGUGGGGUAAAGGCUUACCAAGGCGACGAUCCGUAGCUGGUCUGAGAGGACGACCAGCCACACUGGGACUGAGACACGGCCCAGACUCCUACGGGAGGCAGCAGUGGGGAAUUUUGGACAAUGGGGGCAACCCUGAUCCAGCCAUGCCGCGUGCGGGAAGAAGGCCAUCGGGUUGUAAACCGCUUUUGUUCGGGAAGAAAUCCUCUGGGCUAAUACCCCGGGGGGAUGACGGUACCGGAAGAAUAAGCACCGGCUAACUACGUG